GAUGAAGAACGUAGCAAAAUGCGAUAAGUAAUGUGAAUUGCAGAAUUCAGUGAAUCAUCGAAUCUUUGAACGCAUCUUGCGCUCCUUGGUAUUCUGAGGAGCAUGCCUGUUUGAGUGUCAUUAAAUUCUCAACUACACUGACUUUGAAUUGGUGUGGCUUGGAUUUGGGGGGAAAAUUGUUGUUGGCUUUUUGUAUAGUCUGCUCCCCUGAAAUUGAUUAGCGGUACCUUUGUGGAACUGUCUACAGGUGUGAUAAUUAUCUACAUCUUAGACAUCUGCUGGAAUGCUGCUUUCUAAACCUUACUUGUAUUGACAAUCUUGACCUCAAAUCAGGUAGGACUACCCGCUGAACUUAAGCAUAUCAAUAAGCGGAGGA
rnacentral:misc_RNA from 1 species